GGCAGAGUUAGCAACGGCUUUCAGCUGCGUGGCUUUCGGGAAGGCUGCAUAGCUCCUCAGAGAUCCCUCCUCCAUCCUCGCUCCUAGCUUCUUGGGCCAGGAAUAACAACUUUGAGACAGCCAGAAGGAAAGAGGGUCGUAAUGACUUUCGGUUUAAGCGAGGAAAUAUGAAAUAUUUGACUUGGGAUUCAGCAUUAGUCUCAACCCCUCAAAGUAUUGGUCUUGUGUCGAUGAUGACUUGGUCUCGGUUUAGGUUGUCUUGACUACAACACUGAUUACAACCGUCCAAAAAGAGUAGCACUUACCUGAAUGUUUGUUUUUUCAACCAAGCUUUGUUGUAGUAUUCAUGCAUUGUAUCCGUACUGUACCGUAUCUAGCUCCACUGUCUGCGCCACAGGUGCUGCAGGGAGAGGGAUUCAAGUGCCAAGCGGGAGGAAAAUAAUGUUUUCCUCACUUUGGCCCAUAUGUCCAUAUGUCUAAAUGCAUUUUCAUCUCAAGUUUUUUGUCAACAAUAAAGAGAUUGUUCAAUUUUGUAUUCCUCCUUACCAUGAAAAAUAGGUAAUACUUUAAAUUAAGAGUAUUUGCGUAUAACUUCCUUAUAUGUCCUUAGAAGACAGAAGUUCCUGAUCGAUUUUCUUUUUUAAUUUUGUACAAAUUAAAAGUAAAAUAGAGACAGGGUCCGAUGGGUACGUUUACAAUGAACUGAUUUAAGUCAAUUGCUUGCAUAAUCUAGAGAGCCUUUGACUAACAUGCAAAAUGUAAAUUUUGUGUAAAGUGAAGCACACUAUAUCUAUAAUAACAAGUCAAUAAUUUAUAUUUUUAUUAAAUCAACAGCUGCUUUUGAACUCAACUAAUAACUGCCUCCGAACUUUGUCUUUAUUUUCCUGAUACUUGGUACCAAAUGAUAUAGUUUGUUAUAAUGUUGAAGUCCAGGAAACGGAAACUGUGAAAAUCACAGUCACAUUAAGAAAUGUUAAGGAUAUUUUGGUGAAGUCUUUUGCAUGCCCAUGCCGCUUGUUUUCAGUUCAUGUGUGGGAAACAGCACACAUACAGUAUAUGAAGAAAUGGAAUUAGUGAGCUCCAAAAUUAAAAGUCAUAAUUAUUUCAAACAAAUAUAAUAAUAAAAAAGGCCCGAUUAGGGACAGCACUUUUUGUCCUGUGUCAUGAAAACUGUUUUAUAAUCCUGUACUGAACCCUAAAGGUCAUCUGUCUUUGAAGACCAUACCCAACAGGGUUAUUGAAAGACAAACCCAGCCAGGACACGAGAUCUGAGAGAGGAUGGAAAGGACAGCACACUGUUUUAUUCAGUUCCUUUGCUUAAGUAAUAAAAGCAGCAAUACUGCAAUGUAAAAAUACUCCAUUACAAGUCAAACUGAACCUGUUCUGAAUGUCACACACACACAAGUAAACGUACAGAAGUAGUAUCACCAAACUGUAUUUACUAAAGUAGAUUCGAAAAGUAUCACAUGUAAAAAAAAAAUGCAGAAACUGUUUCCUGUGAAUAUUGUGCGGUAAUAUGUGUACAGUGUUCACGCACUGGAAUUCAAGAGGACAUCCUUUUUGCUUUCAAUUCAUUUCCGAACAUUGUCCUUGCCUUUAGUGGUAAUCUUUCUAAUUGGAACAACUAUUAAUGACAUUAACUAACUCUUACUAACUAACCAACAAAUAAUGACAUGUUCUCAAUUGCCUUUGUUGAAGCCUGCUUGCAAAAAUGUUAUGUGGGCAACCCUUUAUAAAGCAUGUGCUGUACUAUUAUGCCAUACUGUAUGCUGUGAGUUAACUGCCCAACUGUGCAAGAUAUUUUCUUGUUAUAAAAUUAAAAGUAUGAUACGUUUCA